UACGGAGGGUGCAAGCGUUAUCCGGAUUCACUGGGUUUAAAGGGUGCGUAGGAGGGCAGGGAAGUCAGUGGUGAAAUCUCCGGGCUUAACUCGGAAACUGCCGUUGAUACUCUCUGUCUUGAAUCCCGUGGAGGUGAGCGGAAUAUGUCAUGUAGCGGUGAAAUGCUUAGAUAUGACAUAGAACACCGAUUGCGAAGGCAGCU
rnacentral:rRNA from 1 species